CGAAAGCCUGACGGAGCAAGACCGCGUGAGGGAGGAAGGCUCUUGGGUUGUAAACCUCUUUUCUCAGGGAAGAAGCUCUGACGGUACCUGAGGAAUCAGCCUCGGCUAACUCCGUGCCAGCAGCCGCGGUAAUACGGAGGAGGCAAGCGUUAUCCGGAAUUAUUGGGCGUAAAGCGUCCGCAGGUGGCGAUUCAAGUCUGCUGUCAAAGCCAGGAGCUCAACUCCUGUCCGGCAGUGGAAACUGACCCACUCGAGGGUGGUAGGGGUAGAGGGAAUUCCCAGUGUAGCGGUGAAAUGCGUAGAGAUCGGGAAGAACAUCGGUGGCGAAAGCGCUCUACUGGGCCGCGACUGCCGCUGAGGGACGAAAGCUAGGGGAGCG
rnacentral:rRNA from 1 species